GAGUAAAGAUUUCGGUCGCUUUGGGAGGAGCUCGCUUACUAUCAGCUUGUUGGUAGGGUAAUGGCCUACCAAGGCUAUGACGGUUAGGGGGUGUGAGAGCAUGACCCCCAGCAUUGGCACUGAAACACUGGCCAAACACCUACGGGUGGCUGCAGUCGAGAAUCUUCCACAAUGGGGGAAACCCUGAUGGAGCGAUGCUGCGUGCGGGAUGAAGGCCUUCGGGUUGUAAACCGCUUUUGUAGGGGACGAAAUUUUUGACGGUACCCUUUCGAAUAAGAGGUUGCUAACUCUGUGCCAGCAGCAGCGGUAAUACAGAGACCUCAAGCGUUAUCCGGAUUUACUGGGCGUAAAGCGUCUGUAGGGGGUUUAUUAAGUUCCAAGUAAAAUUUCAAGGCUCAACUUUGAAUUCGCUUGGAAAACUAAUAAACUGGAGUCUAGCAGAGGUGCAUGGAACUUGUGGUGUAGGAGUGAAAUCCGUUGAUAUCACAAGGAACACCAAGGGCGAAGGCAUUGCACUGGGCUAGCACUGACCCUGAGAGACGAAAGCGUGGGGAGCAAAACGGAUUAGAUACCCGUGUAGUCCACGCCCUAAACGAUGAAUGCUAAAUGUUCGGGGAUUCGACCCCCUGGGUGUUACAGCUAACGCGUUAAGCAUUCCGCCUGGGAAGUACGGCCGCAAGGCUAAAACUCAAAGGAAUAGACGGGGAUCCGCACAAGCGGUGGAGCGUCUGGUUUAAUUCGACAGUAAGUGUGGUACCUCACCAGGGUUUGACAUCCCUUGACAGCCUUGGAAACAAGGUUUCCUUCGGGCAAGGUGACAGGUGCUGCAUGGUCGUCGUCAGUUCGUGCCGUGAGGUGUUCCGUUAAGUCGGGAAACGAACGAAACCCCUAUUGCAUGUUACAAUUUCUCAUGCAAGACUGCCCGGAUAUACUGGGAGGAAGGUGGGGAUGACGUCAGAUCUGCAUGGUCCUUAUACCCUGGGCGACACAGGCGCUACAAUGGCAGAGACAAAGGGUCGCAAAACCGCAAGGUGAAGCUAAUCCCAAAAACUUUGUCUAAGUUCGGAUUGAAGGCUGCAAUUCGCCUUCAUGAAGCUGGAAUCGCUAGUAAUCGUGAAUCAGCCACGUCACGGUGAAUAUGUUCCCGGAUCUUGUACUCACCGCCCGUCACACCAAGAGAGUUGGUAGCUCCC
rnacentral:rRNA from 1 species